AUACGUAGGGGGCGAGCGUUGUCCGGAAUGAUUGGGCGUAAAGGGCGCGUAGGCGGCCCGGUAAGUCUGGAGUGAAAGUCCUGUUUUUAAGAUGGGAAUUGCUUUGGAUACUGUCGGGCUUGAGUGCAGGAGAGGUAAGUGGAAUUCCCAGUGUAGCGGUGAAAUGCGUAGAGAUUGGGAGGAACACCAGUGGCGAAGGCGGCUUACUGGGCUGUAACUGACGCUGAGGCGCGAAAGCGUGGGGAGCGAACAGGAUUAGAUACCCUGGUAGUCCACGCGGUAAACGAUGAAUGCUAGGUGUUGCGGGUAUCGACCCCUGCAGUGCCGGAGUAAACACAAUAAGCAUUCCGCCUGGGGAGUACGGCCGCAAGGUUGAAACUCAAAGGAAUUGACGGGG
rnacentral:rRNA from 1 species